CCUACGGGAGGCAGCAGUGGGGAAUUUUGGACAAUGGGGGCAACCCUGAUCCAGCCAUGCCGCGUGCAGGAUGAAGGCCUUCGGGCUGUAAACUGCUUUUGUACGGAACGAAAAGACUCUUUCUAAUAAAGGGGGUCCAUGACGGUACCGUAAGAAUAAGCACCGGCUAACUACGUGCCAGCAGCCGCGGUAAUACGUAGGGUGCAAGCGUUAAUCGGAAUUACUGGGCGUAAAGCGUGCGCAGGCGGUUAUGUAAGACAGAGGUGAAAUCCCCGGGCUCAACCUGGGAACUGCCUUUGUGACUGCAUAGCUAGAGUACGGUAGAGGGGGAUGGAAUUCCGCGUGUAGCAGUGAAAUGCGUAGAUAUGCGGAGGAACACCGAUGGCGAAGGCAAUCCCCUGGACCUGUACUGACGCUCAUGCACGAAAGCGUGGGGAGCAAACAGGAUUAGAUACCCUGGUAGUCCACGCCCUAAACGAUGUCAACUGGUUGUUGGGUCUUAACUGACUCAGUAACGAAGCUAACGCGUGAAGUUGACCGCUUGGGGAGUACGGCCGCAAGGUUGAAACUCAAAUGAAUUGACGG
rnacentral:rRNA from 1 species